AACGAACGCUGGCGGCAGGCUUAACACAUGCAAGUCGAACGCCCCGCAAGGGGAGUGGCAGACGGGUGAGUAACGCGUGGGAAUCUACCCAGAUCUACGGAACAACAGAGGGAAACUUCUGCUAAUACCGUAUACGCCCUACGGGGGAAAGAUUUAUCGGAUCUGGAUGAGCACGCGUAAGAUUAGCUAGUUGGUGGGGUAAUGGCCUACCAAGGCGACGAUCUUUAGCUGGUCUGAGAGGAUGAUCAGCCACACUGGGACUGAGACACGGCCCAGACUCCUACGGGAGGCAGCAGUGGGGAAUAUUGGACAAUGGGCGCAAGCCUGAUCCAGCCAUGCCGCGUGAGUGAUGAAGGCCUUAGGGUUGUAAAGCUCUUUCACCGAUGAAGAUAAUGACGGUAGUCGGAGAAGAAGCCCCGGCUAACUUCGUGCCAGCCGCCGCCGUAAAAC
rnacentral:rRNA from 1 species